rnacentral:lncRNA from 1 species
UCGGCGGGUCUGGGAGGGGGAGGCGAAGAGCGGGGCGAUUUCAACCCCGCCCUGACCCGGAAGCGGACCCCGCCGCACCACCGAGGCGAGCCGGGCAGAGCGUCGCCACGCGGGCCACCAUAGAGUCCGCAAGGAACAAGGAGGGGUGGAUAUUGGAUGCAAGCACGGAACCGGAUCUGCUGGAAAAGUGGUAGACUCUCCAUCCCUGGAAGCUUUCAAAAGCCGGUCAGGAGAAGAGGGGAGAACUGCUCAAGGAAAGCAGCCAGCUGACAUGGGAGAUGGACCAUGAUGACACCAAGACCUUAACUCUUCUCCCUCAGUGAUGAUGACCCUCAUGCCAAGAGACAUGAGGUCACGGCCUCUAUGUAUAAUCCAAACUUGGGGCAGUGCUAUCACGGAUUAAUGGAGGCCUGUGUUACAUACUUUAUUUUCCAACUGUUUAAGUUGGUCUAAUAAAAGAUAUCAGAUUCACCCA